rfam:Trichobilharzia regenti genome assembly, scaffold: TRE_scaffold0000140
GUACUGCUGAAGAGUCUCAAACUAAGACGAAACAGCUGUCCAGUAA